AUUGAACGCUGGCGGCAUGCUUUACACAUGCAAGUCGAACGGUAACAGGCCGCAAGGUGCUGACGAGUGGCGAACGGGUGAGUAAUGCAUCGGAACGUGCCCAGUCGUGGGGGAUAACGCAGCGAAAGCUGCGCUAAUACCGCAUACGAUCUGUGGAUGAAAGCGGGGGACCGUAAGGCCUCGCGCGAUUGGAGCGGCCGAUGUCAGAUUAGGUAGUUGGUGGGGUAAAGGCUCACCAAGCCAACGAUCUGUAGCUGGUCUGAGAGGACGACCAGCCACACUGGGACUGAGACACGGCCCAGACUCCUACGGGAGGCAGCAGUGGGGAAUUUUGGACAAUGGGCGCAAGCCUGAUCCAGCAAUGCCGCGUGCAGGAAGAAGGCCUUCGGGUUGUAAACUGCUUCUGUACGGAACGAAAAGGCUCUGGUUAAUACCUGGGGCUCAUGACGGUACCGUAAGAAUAAGCACCGGCUAACUACGUGCCAGCCGCCGCGGUAAUAC
rnacentral:rRNA from 1 species